UGGGGUGUCAAAAGCAACUGGCACAUGGCCCAUAAUCCAAACUAAUUUAAAUCAGCGCGUGACACAAUGAAAUAACAAUUUAAUUAAAAAAAAUCAUGUAACAUGGCAUCAACCGGUCAAGGCAACUUAAGUCACUAGAGGACAAAAACAAAUAAAUGGCCAGGAUUAAAACGGCAGCGCUAGAUCUAACGGUUCUCGAGAUGACACGCGGUCAUCUUCUUCCUCUAACCAAACCCUAAUGCCAUAUUCAUGCAGAAACGUGAAAAUGCA
rnacentral:lncRNA from 1 species